UACAGAGGUCCCGAGCGUUGUUCGGAAUUACUGGGCGUAAAGGGCUCGUAGGCGGCCAACUAAGUCCGACGUGAAAUCCCCAGGCUUAACCUGGGAACUGCGUCGGAUACUGGAUGGCUUGAAUUCGGGAGAGGGAUGCAGAAUUCCAGGUGUAGCGGUGAAAUGCGUAGAUAUCUGGAGGAAUACCGGUGGCGAAGGCGGCAUCCUGGACCGACAUUGACGCUGAUGAGCGAAAGCUAGGGGAGCAAACGGG
rnacentral:rRNA from 1 species